rnacentral:rRNA from 1 species
UACGGGGGGGGCAAGCGUUGUUCGGAAUUACUGGGCGUAAAGGGCUCGUAGGCGGCCAACUAAGUCAAACGUGAAAUCCCUCGGCUUAACCGGGGAACUGCGUCUGAUACUGGAUGGCUUGAGUUUGGGAGAGGGAUGCGGAAUUCCAGGUGUAGCGGUGAAAUGCGCAGAUAUCAGGAGGAACACCGAUGGCGAAGGCAGCUCGCUGGGACGUGACUGACGCUGAGACGCGAAAGCGUGGGGAGCAAACAGG